AGUGGCGAACGGGUGAGUAACACGUGGGCAACCUGCCCCAGACUCUGGGAUAACUCCGGGAAACCGGGGCUAAUCCCGGAUAUGACCUUUGAAGGCAUCUUCGAAGGUGGAAAGUUUUUCGGUCUGGGAUGGGCCCGCGGCCUAUCAGCUUGUUGGUGGGGUAAUGGCCCACCAAGGCGACGACGGGUAGCCGGCCUGAGAGGGCGACCGGCCACACUGGGACUGAGACACGGCUCAGACUCCUACGGGAGGCAGCAGUGGGGAAUAUUGCGCAAUGGGCGAAAGCCUGACGCAGCGACGCCGCGUGAGGGAUGAAGGCCUUCGGGUUGUAAACCUCUUUCAGCAGGGACGAAGCGAAAGUGACUGUACCUGCAGAAGAAGCACCGGCUAA
rnacentral:rRNA from 1 species